rnacentral:piRNA from 1 species
UGUGCAUGAUGUGCUUAGAGCUGUGUUC